GCGAACAGACGAGGAGCUUGCUCCUCUGACGUUAGCGGCGGACGGGUGAGUAACACGUGGAUAACCUACCUAUAAGACUGGGAUAACUUCGGGAAACCGGAGCUAAUACCGGAUAAUAUAUUGAACCGCAUGGUUCAAUAGUGAAAGACGGUUUUGCUGUCACUUAUAGAUGGAUCCGCGCCGCAUUAGCUAGUUGGUAAGGUAACGGCUUACCAAGGCAACGAUGCGUAGCCGACCUGAGAGGGUGAUCGGCCACACUGGAACUGAGACACGGUCCAGACUCCUACGGGGGGCAGCAGUAAGGAAUCUUCCGCAAUGGGCGAAAGCUUGACGGAGCAACGCCGCGUGAGUGAUGAAUGUCUUCGGAUCGUAAAACUCUGUUAUUAGGGAAGAACACAUGUGUAAGUAACUAUGCACGUCUUGACGGUACCUAAUCAGAAAGCCACGGCUAACUACGUGCCAGCAGCCGCGGUAAUACGUAGGUGGCAAGCGUUAUCCGGAAUUAUUGGGCGUAAAGCGCGCGUAGGCGGUUUUUUAAGUCUGAUGUGAAAGCCCACGGCUCAACCGUGGAGGGUCAUUGGAAACUGGAAAACUUGAGUGCAGAAGAGGAAAGUGGAAUUCCAUGUGUAGCGGUGAAAUGCGCAGAGAUAUGGAGGAACACCAGUGGCGAAGGCGACUUUCUGGUCUGUAACUGA
rnacentral:rRNA from 1 species